UGUCUCCCACCGCUUAGGGGUUGAACCAUUUAUGAAGACUUUAAUGUUGUUUGACCCUGAUGACAUCACUAUGUGUCACGAACCCCCAGUCGUGACCCUGACCUUCCUGUUGGGAUGUGUGUGUGUGUGUGAUUGUAGUUUUGAGUUCUUUUCCCCUUGGGGCGUUUAUGGUGUGCUUGGUGUAUUAUUGGUUUUUGUCUGUCUCUCUGUGUUCUGCUUCCUCCCUCAUGCUCUGGGGCUGCUGGUGGGCGUGGUUGCCUGAGCUCCUGUUGACGCACCUGAGACUCAUCCAUUUAAUCAGCACACCAGUGCCUCAGCCUACAAUCAACCCACCUUUAAAGGACCAGCCCAACCUUCCAGUCUCUGCCGGAUUGUUGUACCACACACAUACCUGCCCAUGCCUGACUCGGAUUCCCUCUUGCGCCACGAAAACCCCUGAGCUCUGGAACCAGGACCACAUGCCUCUUCGAACAACCACCCAUCCCCAAGCCACACCUGUCUCUCCCUUGUGUUCAAUAAAUCCUUACACUGCUCAUA